CCUACGGGUGGCAGCAGUGAGGACUAUUGGUCAAUGGGCGCGAGCCUGAACCAGCCAAGUCGCGUGAGGGAGGACGGCCCUACGGGUUGUAAACCUCUUUUGCCGGGGAGCAACGGGCGUCACGUGUGGCGUCACUGAGAGUACCCGGAGAAAAAGCAUCGGCUAAAUCCGUGCCAGCAGCCGCGGUAAUACGGAGGAUGCGAGCGUGAUCCGGAUUUAUUGGGUUAAAAGGGUGCGUAGGCGGAUCGUUAAGUCAGUGGUCAAAUUGAGGGGCUCAACCCCUUCCCGCCAUUGAAACUGGCGAUCUUGAGUGGAAGAGAAGUAUGCGGAAUGCGUGGUGUAGCGGUGAAAGGCAUAGAUAUCACGCAGAACCCCGAUUGAGAAGGCAGCAUGCCGGCUUCCGACUGACGCUGAAGCACGAAAGCGUGGGGAUCGAACAGGAUUAGAUACCCGAGUAGUC
rnacentral:rRNA from 1 species